ensembl:lncRNA
GGAGGUUUUCCAGAGCUGUGGGACUCUUCCCAGCCUCAGGCUCAGGUUGAAGAGGUGCUCGAUCACCCCACACAGUUGGUCCGCGCAGGACCUGACGACCCUUGAGCUGAUGCCAUCUGGACCCGCUGCUUUCUUGGCAUUAAUCCUCCUCAGUUCCCUCCUAACCUGGGUGGUUGAGAGAGACAGGCUGGAGCCUUGUGUUGAGUGUGUAUUGGAUGCUGUUGUUCGGGGUGGGGAGGAGUGAGCAGGGUGAAUAGGGCUUUGGAGCGUGAUGUCACAGGAAGUGGGCCACGCCCCCUUCCGCCAUGACAGUAGGCUAGACACAGGAUACAGCUUCAGCUAUGGCUCGUACGUGAUGUGUUGUCAGUUGCAACGUUAGAUCACACGAUCGUGAAGGCAAGAAGCUGGAUAAUGGGCUCUCCUUUCAUCGUUUUCCAUCCUGGCGGCAACGUGAGGGAUCCCAUGUAUCCGAUAUUACUAAACAAAGACGUCAGGCUUGCAUUGCAGCGGUGAGACGAGCGGAUCGAGUUCUGUGCAAUCCCCAGCUUUUUGUUGGUUUGCUCUCCGCAUUUUCUUUCCGGCUUUUAUUAUGCAGCUGCAGAGUCUGAAGGUGUGCCCCUUGCAGAAGUAAUCGAUGAAGAUCAGACAGAAGAACAACAACAAAAUCACCAUGUCAUGGAGGCUGUGGACAGCAGUUGGGUUGGACAAGUGGAGGUUGAGGUACCAGCUGCAAAUGUGGACAGUGGCGAUCGGACAGCAUCACGGAAGCUAAAGGGCAGACUAAGGAUUGUGUGUGCAAUGCACAGGGCAGAGCAGAAAUAAACACAACACUGCUUGUAACUCCGAAAUGACAACACAGGCACAGCUUCUUCAAGACGGGCGCUUCGCUGCAUUUAUUGAACGCCGUGAAAACUACAAACA